rnacentral:tRNA from 1 species
GCCUGGGUGGCUCAGUCGCUAGAGUUUGAAACUCUUGAUCUCAGGGUUGUGGGUUUGAGCCCCACGUUAGGUG